GGAUGCGAUCAUACCAGCACUAAAGCACCGGAUCCCAUCAGAACUCCGAAGUUAAGCGUGCUUGGGCGAGAGUAGUAUUAGGAUGGUAACCUCCUGGGAAGUCCUCGUGUUGCAUUCC
rnacentral:rRNA from 1 species